GACGUAGGGCGCGAGCGUUGUCCGGAUUUAUUGGGCGUAAAGAGCUCGUAGGCGGCUUGUUGCGUCGGCUGUGAAAUCCCGUGGCUUAACUGCGGGCUUGCAGCUGAUACGGGCGGGCUGGAGUUCGGUAGGGGGAGACUGGAAUUCCUGGUGUAGCGGUGAAAUGCGCAGAUAUCAGGAAGAACACCGGUGGCGAAGGCGGGUCUCUGGGCCGAUACUGACGCUGAGGAGCGAAAGCGUGGGGAGCGAACAGG
rnacentral:rRNA from 1 species